GUCUUUUUGUUAAAAAUUUAAAGUCUAACCUGCCCAAUGAUUAUUUUAAUGGCUGCGGUAUUUUGACCGUACAAAGGUAGCAUAAUCAUUAGUUUUUUAAUUGAAAACUUGUAUGAAUGGUUGAACGAGAAAAUUACUGUCUCAAUUUAAAUUUAUUAGAAUUUUAUUUUUAAGUUAAAAAGCUUAAAUAAAAUUAAAAGACGAGAAGACCCUAUAGAGUUUAAUAUUUAUUUUAAAUUAAUUUUAAGAAUUUAAUAAUUUUAUAAUAGAUAUUUUAUUGGGGUGAUAAAUAAAUUUAAUUAACUUUAUUAAAUUUAAAUCAUUAAUUUAUGAAUUAUUGAUCCAAUAUUUUUGAUUAAAAGAUUAAAUUACCUUAGGGAUAACAGCGUAAUUUUUUUUGAGAGUUCUUAUCGAAAAAAAAGAUUGCGACCUCGAUGUUGGAUUAAAAUUAAUUUUUGGUGUAGAAGCUAAAACAUUAAGUCUGUUCGACUUUUAAUUUUUUACAUGAUCUGAGUUUAAAUCGGCGUGAGCCAGAUUGGUUUCUAUCUUUAUUAAAUUAAAAUAUUUUAGUACGAAAGGACCAAAUAUUUAUAAAAUUUAUUUUAUUUUGAAUUU
rnacentral:rRNA from 1 species